AGAAAACCCGUGUUAGGUUGUAUGAAAUUGUUUAAGAGCAUGAAUCUUGGCCCUCCAACUUCUGGGUUUGACGCACUAAACCAAUAUGAAACUGCCAAUAACAAAACAAUCAAAAUCCUUGCCAUUGUGUUAAAAUUGAAUAGUUUGCGCAACGUUACCUCUGCAUAUAUUUUGGUUGCGGGAUGCAGUGCAGCGGAAUCUGCCAGUGCCAGAAAUAGGGAAAGAUGGCUGCCUUCUCCACUGCCACGGCCCUUUGGAUACACUCGAAUUUUCCUGCAACAUCACAAUGAAUACGUGUGCUUACCCAUCAUCAGAUUAAUCCAGCUUCAAACCCGGUCAGUUAAUUAUCAGAAUGUGUGAAAAGUAGAUGGAUACCAUUUUUUAUCCCCUGCAUUGAAGAUUUUGGACUCAUAGCUCUCAGCAUCUAACUUGGAGAAGUUAUCAAUUUUCCAAACAUGCUUGUAAGUGACGGGACUCUUUAUCAUUGAUAAACACUCCCCCUUGCCUCCUUUGAAAGUUUCUUUGCAGACAAAGACCUCAGCUCCAAACACACACACAUCAUCCACCAGAUACCCGUUGGAGGACUCGUUGAAUUCUUUUAGGCUAAUGGCAACGGCUUAUUUCUUGAAGGGAAGGGAAGAUAUACCUUCAACUGUGAGGUAGUUAUCCUUGUUCUGAUCGAGCAAAAAGAGUCGGUAAACAACGAACACUUCCCAACUCGGUUGGAGGGAAUCGGUCCCCGCAAUUGCCAAAUAGAGAGAGAUGUGGUCAUUCCCACUCUUGCUUUUGUCACCAAGUGGAUGGAGUACCAAUUUCCUGCAAGAACAUUCCAUGAUUAUAUGACUAUGUAGUGCAAGCUCAAGCCUCAAAAUUUAUGAAGAAGAUGAAGAGUCUGAAGGAAUAUCAUUUACCAUUUGUAGCCACCUGCCUCGAACUCCCCGGAUUCAAACCGAUCCACCGAGUUUUUUGUUAACAGUGAAAAGGACUCUAUCUUGACUGUGUAAUGAGCAGGGGGGACAUCGGAAACAUAUCUUGAGAUCUCUGCAUAUUAUUUCAUAUUGGUAAGAAAGCAAAAGAAGACUAAGCCUAUGCUAUGGUCUUGCAUUUCCUUUAGUAUCUUAUGAACUCUGAUAAGUGCAUUCGUUUUUAACGUAGAAGUUGUUGAAA